UGAGUUGAGUUGAGUUGAGUUAAGCUAUUUUUAGAUCUGCAUUGCUAUUGGAACUAUAAUCCAUAAUACUGACUCAAGAAUGGAGGAGUUAAAGCUUGGAAGGAUAUUAGGGAACAUCUCACCUUCUUUUCUAAUUCAUCAAUCUACUCAACUUAAGAAAGUCUUGUUUCCAAACUUGUUGGGGUUCACUAAUGAAGCUCAAAUAUUAGAUGAGAUAAUUUUUAUUAUAAAUAUUGGAAUAAUUUCUCUCUCUCUCUCUCAUUUGCAUUUUCUUUGAUCAAGUUAGCCACAUGUUCCCCUAUUUUACAUAUUUAUAUUCUCGUGCAACUUGCAAUUCUGCUUCCACUAUCAUUUUUCAUUGAUGGCUGAAUGAAUAGUUUAAAUUCCCGAUGCCUAGUUUUCUGUGAAUUUCAUAACUCAAACUAUGAUUCAUUUGAAUAUGGAAUUAUUUGUUACUUCUGAUGUGAGUUCUAAUACCAGGUGCAUGAACCUGUUGAGAAUGAGAAGUUGUGCGUCUUUCUAGUUGAGAAGGCAUUGGCAAAGCUCCCAGCUGGAAAAGACGAAAUACUAGGAGUAUUUGAUCUCAGGGGCUUUGGUAUUGGAAAUGCUGAUCUCAAGUUCUUGACCUUUGUG
rnacentral:misc_RNA from 1 species